rnacentral:lncRNA from 1 species
UUGCUUGAGUCUCUAAUUGUUUGGAAUUGCAUGGGAAUGAAAGAAAAUGACCAAGGCAUUUUGUUCUUUAGUGUAAAUAACUACUAUGCCAUAUAACCUACCCUUAUUUAGGAAAUCACUUGGUUACCCCAUUUGAGCCAAAAAUUUAAAAAAAAUAUUCUUGCUUCUUGUAUAUGAUCCCAAGCUUAAAAGAAAAACAAUGUCUCUUCCUUACUUUCUAAGUUGAGAGAGCAUGCAUGAUUAGAUUGUAUAUAAGUGUGCAAGUUGAGGGGAGUGGAGGCUAUUAACAUCUUGGUUUGAAAUUAUCAAUUUCUCAAUCUUGUGUGUA